rnacentral:rRNA from 1 species
UGCAAGUCGAGGGGCAGCACGGUUAGCAAUAACUGGUGGCGACCGGCGCACGGGUGCGUAACGCGUAUGCAACCUACCUUUAACUGAAGAAUAGCCCCGGGAAAUCGGGAUUAAUACUUCAUAACAUUAUGAGAUGGCAUCACCUUAUAAUUAAAGCUCCGGCGGUUAAAGAUGGGCAUGCGUGACAUUAGUUAGUUGGUGAGGUAACGGCUCACCAAGACUUCGAUGUCUAGGGGUUCUGAGAGGAUUAUCCCCCACACUGGUACUGAGACACGGACCAGACUCCUACGGGAGGCAGCAGUAAGGAAUAUUGGUCAAUGGGCGCAAGCCUGAACCAGCCAUGCCGCGUGCAGGAUGACGGCCCUAUGGGUUGUAAACUGCUUUUGUACGGGAAAAAACCCCUUUACGUGUAAAGGGCUGAUGGUACCGUAAGAAUAAGGAUCGGCUAACUCCGUGCCAGCAGCCGCGGUAAUACGGAGGAUCCAAGCGUUAUCCGGAUUUAUUGGGUUUAAAGGGUGCGCAGGCGGAAUAAUAAGUCAGUGGUGAAAGCCUACAGCUCAACUGUAGAACUGCCAUUGAUACUGUUAUUCUUGAGUACAGUUGGAGUGGGCGGAAUGUAUCAUGUAGCGGUGAAAUGCUUAGAUAUGAUACAGAACACCGAUCGCGAAGGCAGCUCACUAAGCUGUAACUGACGCUCAUGCACGAAAGCGUGGGGAUCAAACAGGAUUAGAUACCCUGGUAGUCCA